rnacentral:lncRNA from 1 species
CGCCCCCAGUUAGAUGUGAUUUUGAACUAUAAAAUAUACCUAUAGAAAUAGAAAAUUUAUUUUCCCAAAUAUUCUUUUAAUAUAAAUUUGGGCCUAAAUAAAUUAUUUGCAGCCUAUUUAUAUUGGGCCCUGGAAUAAAUAUUUAUAUGGACUUUUUACAUUAGACCUUAUUUUAAUUUCGAGCUAUGAGUAAAGCAUUUCUGUAAUUCUUAUGAUUUGGGCUAAUGAACAGCCUUUACUUUCUUACUGAUCAUAAAUUUUACUGCAAUUACGUGUUUCUUUCCUCAGCCAUAAUUCUAUAUUCAUUUUCAGCCACAAAUUCUUAACUUGGCCUUGAAGAACACUCACAAUUCUGCAGCCACAUAUUUUCAAAAUCUUAGAAAAACAAGUAUGGUUUGUUUAUAAAUUUCGUGAGCUUCAAGAACAAGUUUAUUUAGUCUAGUAGAAAACUAUUUCGUGCAGCCCAAGAAUUUAGUCCUAUUUAAACUCAAAUCACCCGAAUUUGUAUACCAGCAAUUCACUCCUCAUCUGUUCACUUCACCAUAUAAACUCAAUCUGCCAUUUCUCACUGCACAUCACCAAUCGGUACUUUUAAUAUUUUCUGUAAGUUUAAUACUCAUAUGCAAUAAUUUCUGUUUUCUUUGUAAAUUCCCAAAUUUUCAAAAGAAUCAAAAGCCCUACAAUCCAAGAAUAGCAUUUUCAUUAAUUUACAGAAAAUUUAGAAUAACAGAGAAGAAAUAGAAGUAGGUU